GCGCCUGUUGUCUAAUGGUCAGGAUCUCAGCCUGCCACGUUGGGGGUCCGGGUUCGAUUCCCGGCGGGCGCA
rnacentral:tRNA from 1 species